UACGGAGGGUGCAAGCGUUGUCCGGAAUUAUUGGGCGUAAAGAGCGUGUAGGCGGCCCGAUUAGUCCGCUGUGAAAGUCCAGGGCUCAACCCUGGAAUGCCGGUGAAUACUGUCGGGCUAGAGUCCGGAAGAGGCGAGUGGAAUUCCUGGUGUAGCGGUGAAAUGCGCAGAUAUCAGGAGGAACACCAAUGGCGAAGGCAGCUCGCUGGGACGUGACUGACGCUGAGGCGCGAAAGCUAGGGGAGCAAACAGG
rnacentral:rRNA from 1 species